rnacentral:lncRNA from 1 species
GCCACCGUGGGUCACAAGCCCUGGAAAGCCAGAACAGUUCUCAGCAUAGGACCUGCCCCCGGGCCUGCUUCACCAGGGGAACGCACACGCCAGUUACCCAGGAGAAGAAAGAGGCAGAAUUUGCAUGGCACUAGAUCCAGUGAAUAAGGUGAGCAAACAGUCAUACUGUUAGGAACCCGCCUGUCUGUUGUCGGACACCUGGGUAGC